ensembl:snoRNA
AUCUUUAUGAUCUGUCCAGUUCAUUCAAAUGAUGAUUGGUUUGUUCACAGCUACUGUUGUGAGAUGCGUGGCCUUUCUUGUUACGCACAACCCAUAAACCGUCUGAUU